rnacentral:lncRNA from 1 species
CCCCUACACACAUAGAUGGCGCACUACAGUCAAACACCUGACUGUCGACCUCUCACAGCUGACUCUGACUGUAUACACUGUCAACAACGACACACCUCCCUCUUACAGUCCUCCUCACACUGCACUAUAAUCCUUUCAUUACUUUAAGUUAGUUGGGAUGGAUGAGUAUGAUCCCUUGCCUGAUGUACCAUUAUUUGGCACUGGAGAAGCCCGUCCAGGCCGAACGGUGAAUGCUGUGAUCGUCAUUGUGACAACAUUACUGGUGGUUUUAACGUCAGUAUGCGCAUUCAUCCCUGGUCCCAGUGCACUUGAUAUAUAUUUUGUCUUCUGCAUUAUCCUCAUCUGCAUCUCACAUCUCACUCUGAUUGUGUGGUACAAACAAGGAGACCUCGAUCCAAAAUUCAAGAAACUCAUCUACUUUAACACAUUAUGUAUUAUAUUGAUUUGCAUAUGUGGAAAUAUCUUUUUCCAUACAUCAACAGCAAAAGCUUGAAUGUACAGUACAGGCUGUCUUCAAAGUUAGACCAUAGUGUGGAACAAUUUACUGUGUUAUGAGGGUUUUUGUUUAUUACUGCUUUACUGCAUAGAGGGACCUUUCCCAGUCCACUUGUCGGGACAUCAAUAUGAUAUACUGUUGUUAUAAUUCAGUAUCUCAUUUGAUUAAAAGUAAGAAGGCAUCAUGUUAUAAAAUAUGAGGUAUAUACUCAUGAGAUGAAUUUUUUAUUUUAUUUUUUCAAGUGGAAAGGUUGACUGAUAAUAGGGCAAUUUCUUUAGAUGCAUGUAAAAAACUGUAUUUAUGAAUGUAAAUGAAAACAGUUUUAUUUCAUGCUAAACAGAGGAGCUUUAUCUAUACUGUACUGACAGUGCCUAUGCUAUAUAUUAUAUGCUAUUUAAAAGUUACAGUAAGAGUGUUAGCAUAAGUAUCUAUACUUUGCUGUAAAGAAUUGUGUUACUGUACAGUCUUGCAGCUUUUCUGUUUUAUACAAUCUGUAAUUAUACACCUGUAUUUAUAUUGUUUUCCAAAAAUUUAUAUAUGUUGACACAAGUUUUAUGAGUACCGUAUUUCUCGGCGUAUAAGCCGAGGUUGUAAGCCUCCCAAAAUUCCCCAAAAUCAUGGCGUCGGCUUAUACAGCAGAUCUAGAUCAUGAACCUUAAAAAUUUCUGGUGCAUAGCAGCGAGACACACAAUUUACUACUUACAAAUUUCAAUGUGACUGACCAUUCAGUUGUUAUUCUCUUUCUGAGAACCCAUACAUAAAACAACUUUGAAAUACAACUUUGUUAUUAUAAAGACAUGAACUGAAAUGGCCUAACAUACUAAAAUAAUAGAAAUACUGGCGUGGUGGCUUGAUCAGCUGUUAUUCACCCCAAGGACAUUAGUGUAAAAGAAAGUGUUGAAAUACAAAUUCUUUAUUUAAUACAUGGAUAAAAAAAAAAGACAUCAGUAAAAAUGUUAAAAUACAACAUAGAAUUGAAAUGGUUUAGAGUCUUUCAAAAUCUUCCUCUGAACUAGUGGUUCCUUCCGGUGAAUCCCAGUCCUCCGACUCGGCUGUGGCUUCGGCUUCGUCAUCAUCUUCCCACACCACAUCACCCUCUCACCAUCCAGAGAAUUGGAUAUGCAACAUUUUUUGAAUGAUUUUACUACUGUUUCUGUUUUUAUAGCAUUCCAAGAAUCUAUUUACGCUUCAUUGCGUAAAUACAUAUGGCGUUCCUGGUGAUGAUGUAUCCACUCUCUCGGUUCUCGUUGACCUACUCGAAUAAUUUCUCCUCCAGUUAUGGCCACUGUUGUUUACCUCUUCUCAGGGCACAUUUUGUUCUGGGGACGUCUAUUAACUUUUCUUCAUCCUUCUUCCACUCUCGAACCUGCUUCUCGUUAACGCCGAAUUCUCUUGCAGCUGCAGAGUUGUUUGACGCCUUUGCAUAUCUUACAACUUUUAACUUGAACGAUGCGUCGUAUUUCCUUCGUUUUGCGGGUGGGGCCAAUUUACUAUAAGGUUUAAAGACAACCACCUCAUAGAUAUGGAAAAUACCAAAUGGAGAGAAUGUGGUAAACAGAUAAGAGGUCGACUAUGAAGGUGAGUCGGUGCAGUAUCGAACAUCAAACCGCUCAUAAUGAGUCGAGUUUGGGGGUCGGCUUAUACACACCACAUCAGCCGAGAACUGAUAUUUCGGCUAAAUAUUCGGGGGUCGACUUAUACGUCUGGGCGGCUUAUACGCCGAGAAAUACGGUAUAUACUAAGGUCUAAAAAGGUUGUAUUUGAAGUAACUUGGCCAAAAAUUUUGGGUUGGUAGAUAGAAUUGUUUAUCCUAAAUUUUAUUACCAGUACCAAGACCCAAAUACAAAUUACCAGUGAAGGUAACUUCCAGUAUAAGUUGUAAUCCUUAUACGCAGUAAUACCUCCAAUAGCCGGAACGAUUUUGGGAAUGAUUUUCCGAGGGGCACAUUUUCUGGCGAAUGCAGAGAAACUUUUCCCAGUACCCGGAAAAUUCCGGGGGGUGGGGGAGUUUUUUCUGGGUUUGAGAGAUGAAAAUCAGGCGCAUUUUCCGGAAAUUCCAAGAAAAAUUUUCCGGAACCAAGAAAAUUACGGGGACAGGGGAUAUUUUUCCAGGUUCGAGAGCUGAUGUAAUGCGCAAUUUCUGGAACUUCCGAGAACAUUUUUCUGUUACCCGGAAAAUUCCAGGGAUGAGGGAUAUUUUUCCGGCUUGGAGAGAAUCGUCUCGGUUCCCAGAAAUCUCUCAUUCCUGGAAGUGCUCUGCAUCAAUUGUUCCUGCUAACGGAGAUGUCACUGUAUUUCAUACUGGGCUUCUGAAAAUUUAUUUGCCUUGAUUAUCUCCUGAAUAAAUUUCAUUUUUUACAAAAUAAGAUUAUUGGUUGCGACUGUUGGAUUACUGCAAACAAAGCAUUUAUUUUUCUAUGCCUUAGGCAUUUGUAGGAAUUAUAAUAAAUUGUAGCCAGCAGUGCAGUGUUUGUAAUAGCAAAGUACAACAAAAAUCAGGCUAAAUACUAUUAUCAGAUAUUGAGAAGUAAUACGUUUCAAGCUAAUAACAUUGAGUGAUACUUGGGUUAUUUGUAGUUAUGUUCUCAAAUAUAAUGGAUCUGAUACUCUAUACUGUAUCAUAUGAAAAUUGAUGCUUGCAGCUAGUGCAGAAGCUUUUGAUGUUGUCUGUAACAGCGACAUAUUUUGUAAUUAAGAGUAACAUUAUACCCUUGACUUAAAGUUGUGAUGAUAUUCUUUUGAAGGUCCAUGUAAACCUACUUUAGAGAAUGAUAGAAAAGACCAAUUAUUGUUGAGAUUAUGGAAACAAGUUUAUAGGAAAUGUAAUAUGCGAUUAAAAGUGGUAAUACAAGUUGGAAGGUAUUUUAUAUGGUAUGAAAUGUUGGGCAAUACUAUAUACAGCAAAGGAACACCGGGAGUGUCAUAGUACUGUACUGUUAAGCUUGUUGCAUAGUCUCUUUAAUAAAUUAUUGUGGAAGGCUGGAGGAAGUGUUUUAGAGGUUAUGGAGAUGGUCAUUUGAAAGCAUCUUAAUACAUGAUUGAAUGGGCAGAAGUGUGUUGAUGAGUUUUUUGGGAAAGUGCCACAAUUGCUGCAGGUGAGUAACGCUGACUUGUGUGCAGAUAGUGCAGGAAUAGGGGUAAACCGGGUUUGGGACUUUGUUGUGGAAAGGUAGUAUCAUAGCAGAAGACAUCUUUUACAUCAUUAAAAGUGGAGGCGUGACAAUCAAUUAAAAGCAAAAAUGUGUGUGUGUGUGUGUAUUGCUCCUUGUGUCUGGCCACCUUGUGCACUGGCAAAAAUGUUUGAAAGAGUUAAAAAAAUAAAGCAUUUUGUACGUGGUCAGUAGUAAAUUUUUUCUCACAAGCACAACUUUUUGGUAUGUAUCAGUCAUCUUGAGUAAAUGAAUAAGGGAAUAGAUUUUUCUUUGUGCUGUACUGUAUAAAUACAGGGAGACCCCAAUGUACAGUCGGCCACAAGAAUAAGUAUACGAGGUCUGUAAAAAACAAAUUAAAAAAAAUUUAUUGCGUUACUUACAACUUAAUCAGACUUGUCUCCUUCAAAGUACUCCCCUCCAGUUCUGGAAAGGGUCCUGGAACGCGUUUUGAGGGAUGGUGCGCAGGUCUCGUCGCGAAUUUUCUUCUAUCUUCUGAAAUCGGCGACCUUUCAAGGUGGAUUUCAACUUUGGGAACAAAAAAGAGUCCGCAGGGGCCAAAUCCAGAGAGUAGGGCGGCUGGGGGAUGAUAGUCGUCUCGUGCUUCGCCAAAAAGUAACGGAUAAGGAGCGACUCGUGAGCAGGUGCAAUGUCAUGGUGCAGCAUCCAGGUCAUGUUUGUCCACGCCUCAGGCCUCUUCCUUUGCACUGCCUCCCUCAAACGCUUCAGGACCUCCAAGUAAAACUCUUUAUUGACUGUCUGACCACGUGAAACAAACUCAUGAUGAACGACGCCCUCCCAAUAAAAAAAAGACGAUCAACAUCACCUCCACAUUAGAGCGAUUCUGGCGUCCAGAUUUGAGAUCGUCUUCGGUGGAUGUUCUUCCCCUUUUGAAACGCUGGUGCCACACAUGACAUUGCGUACGGCUCAAACAAUCCUCCUCAUAAGCCUGUUGCAACAUUUUAAAAGUCUCUUAAAAGUUUUCCCAAUUUCAAGCAGAAUUUCACGCAAACAGGUUGCUCUUCAUGAUCCUUCAUUGUUCAACUUGCAACAAAUCGCCAAGUGCACUAAACACACGUUCACUCUAGCGAGUGUAGCUCGAUGACUAAUUGAUGUGGCGUGAUGCGACUAAUGUUAGACUAAAGGUCAAGGUCACCGCUACACAGCGCUCCCGUCAUGAGCAUGCUGUGCCGGCUCGUUGGCGUGCUAUUUAAAAUUUUUUUUUUUUUUUGGACAGACCUCGUACGCCUACGGUUCGUGUUUGAGACAAAAUAUAUGGUAACACUGUCCUGAA